AUAUUCAACCCGCGGUCUUUUUUACGUCAAUGCGGUGGCUCGAGCGGCUGGGGGUGAGGCGGCUGGAGCUUGCAGGGGCGGAUCUGUGCACGGCAGGGGCUGGGGAGGCGGAUCCGAUGGCGGGCGGCGAGGCAAGGGUCGCCGGUGACGACGAGGAAGGCCAGACCGCGGCUUCCCGGGCGGAUCCAUGGCAGAAAAGAGACAGGGUGGUGAGGAAGAGAAGAUGGGAGAAAAGAGGGCGGUGCGGCGACCCCGGCAUGCUCGCCGGAGCCGGGUGAUGGCAGACAGGCGCGGGAGACGGAGGGAUCCGGCAUGGCAGCGCGAAGUCCUUUUAGUUGGAGGCGGGCCUCCAUGGCCGCGGCAACCCCUCCUCUUCUCUCUGUGGCCGCGGCAGCUCAGGCAGCGGUCAGAUCCACCCUCCCACCCUCAUUCCUCGCGCUGGAUAACCUAGCCACCAGGCCAUGGUGACCGACGGCGAUAAUGACGGUGGUGGCUACCUCGACGACGGCGGCACACACCCAACAUCGCCAUGGACCAGUAGCUCAAGCAUUCUUCUUCCUGAUGGUGAUGGGGUUCCCUCACCAUCUUCAGGUCGUCAUCCUUGAGGCCUCCACCAUCUGCAGGCGCACGCCAUCACGCUCUUCCAUUCCAGGGGCAACCAGGCCCGAGUCACCAUCAUCCUGAUGUUGCCACGAUGGGUGGCGGCAGCGGACAGACCAAUGCACCUUGUGGUGAUAUCUACGUUAGGGAGGGUGUUGUUGCCGUCCACCACAAUAACAACCUGUGUUGUGUCGAUUUUAGAUUCUUUGGUGACGAAUUGGACUACAUCCCGCUGAAGGCCGCUUAUCCUGCUCAUGAGCAAGGCUACUUAAAAGCAAUCCUAGGUGAGUGAUCUGUUCUUUGUCAUGUCAUGUAUGUAGUUCCACCGACCUCAUGUUGGAUCGGAGUGUUUUCUACAGGAUUCUUGUGGUGAAUUCUUGAAGAAAAAAAUCAUUCUUCAAGAUGAUGUUUUCAAGCUCUGAAUAGUGAUUAUGUUUGUUCUAUAGUAUACCAAAGAUCAUGCUUUUCUUUAUGUCACAGAACCGAUAUGCUCUAAAUUCCAAUGGCACUAAACAUCUUACGGAUAAAAUAGAAGCAACCUUUAGGAACUGGACAUGUCUGCUCUAUAAGAACCCCUGUGCUUAUACCAUGAUUUUGCUGUAACCUAGCAUUAGGUGUGCAUGGGUCGUAGCUGCACCUAUAUAAGGAGCAACAAUGGUUAUAUUAAAAGGAUUUUCUUCCUCUAUUCCAUCGCCCCUCACGGGUCCCCCACUCCCACACGCUCCCUCCUUACUGCUCCCAUUCAUCCUCUCUCCUGGAUCCCACACCCAUUGUAGCUCAAUCCACGCUGUAGUGUGCAUCUCCAGUUAUUGGUACUAACGAAAAUGCUGCCUCCUCGCCACCGGGCAGCACCAACCGGAUGUUGCCGUGUUGUGUUUGUGUAAAAAUAUAUGGUAAAUAAAAUAUAUUUAUGAACACUUACUGAACAUACAACGGUGAUAAAUAUAUGUAAUUUCAUUUACAUCACCUGUUUUGAACUGUAUUUUAUAUGCAAUUUCUAUAUCAUGGUGGAACACAAAAUUUGAAUAAAAAAUAAUAGCACUGACCAAUGUAUAUUCUGCAAGUUCAGAUAUAUAUCCAUACUUAACUAAAGUACAUACACUGCAUACUGUGGAAUCACACGGCAAAUAUUCAUGCUUAACUAAAUGCAUCCGCUCCAUUCUGGCAGUAGUGAAUCUCGGGACAGUUCUGUGUGGCCUUGGAUCAAUCCUGAACUGAUUGGUGUUAUCUGCCCAUUCUCUUUACAUGACCAAAUAAAAAUAUUUGUAGUUGCUUUUGCUGAGAUGAAUUGUUUGUUUCAUGGAUCCAAGCGUUGUUUUGGCGCUAAACCAAAUCCUGGACCGAAGCCACAUAUGGUCUCUGCUUAAUUGUCUUAUAAGCAGUAGUGCAGCUGAGUUCUGGAAAUCCCACCCUCCUUGCCAGUAGCAAGAUGUGACUAAACUUAUAAAUAGGGAUUAGAAAGGAACAUGUUACUUUGGUUACUAUUAUCUUUAUUUUAUGUAAUUUAGCUUAUUGCAACUGUGGUUUUAUGCUGCAGUUGACAAGAUCCUUAAAGUUAGCUGGCAAUCUUCUUCUAUCCAUUUCAUUGUACUAUGUUUUUGAAGCUCCAAUGUUUACUUCAAAAAAUUGGAAUUUGCAAAUUUUGUUUCUGGCUGCUCGGUCAGGCAAAGCCAACUGUUCACCACUAUGUGCGGUUCUCUUCCAUUUCAUGGUGUGUAACCGAAUAUGGCACAAGACUAUAGUUGUGUCAUUGUGAAAUUUACGAAUGUUGAUGUUUAUUUUCAAUAUAAUAGUAUUGUUUACCAAUUUGGUCCCUUGAUCAUGAACUAAUUUCUCUUUCUAUUCCUUCUAGAUAAUUUGCUUCAGUUCUAGCUACAUGGUGAAACAUGCAUAUUGUUUCCCGAUAUAUUGGGCAUCAGUCCACCUCUCAUGAGAUCUCUGAAUUUUUGAUCCAUAUUGUAUUUGCAGAAUUAUUUCUUCAAGAUAACUAUGCUUGGAUUCACAAAUGCAUGCAAUUUCCUUCAAAUGGAGGUUACUUCUUUACUAGUUAUGUGCUAUUCCACUUUCAAGUUUGGUUCUAGAAGUGUAAUACUUGCUAGCUUAGCUGCAGAAGCGGGAUGUAUAUGGCCUGAAUUUAUAUUUCAGAGUGUAUAAACUGAUUCAGAGUAUUCUGACAUCUAAAACAUUUUGUUGUAUGGUUC